ACUGAAUCGGAACAGCAAUGGCACAAGCCGCGAACAAUGGGUGUGAAGUCAGGGCCCAUAAACUCCAUGGUCUUCACCAAGCCUGUACCAAAUAGGAUGGUGCAGACUGGAGUAAGGAGUGGAUUCUACAGAGGCAUGGUCAAU